GUGAAUCAUCGAAUCUUUGAACGCAUCUUGCGCUCCUUGGUAUUCCGAGGAGCAUGCCUGUUUGAGUGUCGUGAAAUACUCUCAAUUUCAAUCUUUUUGUUUGAAAUUGGAUUUGAAUGUUGUUGUGAAUCAUUCAUGACUCGUUCUAAAUGCAUUAGCGAUCUGCCUUUGAUCACACAACAAUGUGAUAAGUAAAAGCAUUGUUAGAUUGAAGUGGAGAUGGCUUCUAACUGUCUUAAUGGACAAUAACGUUAUUUGACCUCAAAUCAGGUAGGACUACCCGCUGAACUUAAGCAUAUC
rnacentral:misc_RNA from 1 species